ACAACUUCGUUUUUUUGCCGCUUCAGAGCAUGUUCUUCGUGUAAUUACUUUUGCUGUUUGAAUGUUCUUCACUUCCUAGUCUUGCCAUCGUUUGCUUUUGCUUCGAAUACGUGCUUCGUGUGAUUGCUUGUGCUGUUUGAAUAUUCUUGACUUCCUAGUCCUGCCACUGUUUGUUUUUGCUUCGAAGGGAUAUGCAGUUUCAGCUACAUGCAGGUGGCCCGUCCUUCGUACUUCGAUGGUUCCAUCAAAUUCUUGUUGUUUUUUUCUCUUUUGGGGGUUGUCCGGAAAGAGUUUGGUGAUUAAGACUCGAGUACUCUUAUGUUAGCCAAGCUUUAGUAUUGAAGAAAUAUCGAAAACACUUUUGAAUCUCUAUGGCUGGAUUGUGUUCUGUUUAUGAUGUGUGAGGACUGAAAGAACUCAUGGGGGCAGAGGGGUCGACAUUUUCAAAUUCAUGGGGGCAGAGCGAGUAAGACUUUUGUGCUGAUGUUGGACUUUUGUUCUGCUUGCUUAUGUGGAGGGAGGAGGGGAUGAAUGAAAGUUGCUUCCUUUAUCAGCGGAAUAGAGCUAAACUAUUUUUUUUUUCUGAUUUGUUUGUAAAUUUUGAAAUACUCAACUUUCUGAAGUUGAUUGCAAAUAUCCGUUGUUUCCAUCUGCUGGAGUUCAAGUGCAGUCAUCUGCUUACAAUGUUAUUUAACUCUGUCGAACUGAAAAGUGGUGGCCAUGAAACCAAAGGACUUGAUUAUGUUGCAAAGAGUUGAGAUGAGUAACAUUAAGCUCUCAUUAUUGCAGCACUCACUGUCAAAUGCAAUUCAAUCACAAGUCACUCUCUGUUUAUAUUUGCUAAUCGCAGUGGGCAUUGGAUACCUGCUCAGGGCUGACUCAAUCAUGAGUUUUCUGGACAAUUAGAGAGAGAAAGACAGAGAGAGAGAGGGGGAGAGGGAGAGGGAGAGAGUUUAUAUUUGGCAAAGUAAUCUUCUUUGUUCAUUAAAUUUUCUUCUAUAAGGGAGCGCUUUGUUAAUGAGCACUCUGUUUCGGUCUUGCACUUUUCUUCCUUCAGGCUUGAUGUAUACAUACACGAAUAUAUGUUGAAGAGAAAAUUGCAUGCUUCUGCUAAAGCUUUUAUGACAGAAGGGAAAGUUGCCACUGACCCGGUAGCUAUUGAUGCACCAGGAGGAUUAUUUCUCUUUGAGUGGUGGUCUGUCUUCUGGGACAUUUUCAUUGCAAGGACAAAUGCGAAGCAUUCUGAUGCUGCUGCAGCUUACAUUGAGGUUUUUCUUUGGUCCACAGUUCCUACACCAUUUUCCGCUCAUCCAUGGGACGGUACUCCCUGAACAUGCAGAAAUUUUGAGUAUUUGACUGUUCAGUUUGUAAAAAUUCAUGUACGGCAAUUAAAGGGUAGGGAGCAACAACAGCUUCAGAUGCAGCAAUUACAACUUUUGCAGCAGAGAAAUGCAUAGCUACAGCCCACUCUUGGUGGUUCUCUCAACAUUGUAAACUCUGAAGGAAUGAUGGGGCAACCAUCACCAAGAUCGCCAAGGCCAGUUGAUUCAAGCUAAUCCUGUGAACAUGCCAUUAUCUUUGCAGCAAACGCCACAACCUGCCCUCGCUACCUUAUGAACUCUCACGAAAUGCAUCGUCUUUUUUGUUCAUCCUUUUUUUCAAUUAGUUUGGUUGUACCAGAUUGGUUCUUGGAAUACUUUAUAAUUCUCCAGUUAUGCAAUCAAUGGAGCUUGCAGGAUGUCAAAAGUGAAUGAACAAAAUAAAAUAUAUCUGAAAAUUCUGGGCU